rnacentral:rRNA from 1 species
UACGUAGGGAGCAAGCGUUGUCCGGAAUCAUUGGGCGUAAAGCGCGCGUAGGCGGCCUCAUAAGUCCGUUGUGAAAGUCAAAGGCUCAACCUUUGAAAGCCGAUGGAUACUGUGAGGCUAGAGUCCGGAAGAGGCGAGUGGAAUUCCUGGUGUAGCGGUGGAAUGCGCAGAUAUCAGGAGGAACACCGAUGGCGAAGGCAGUUCUCUGGGCCGUAACUGACGCUGAGGAGCGAAAGCGUGGGGAGCGAACAGG